rnacentral:rRNA from 1 species
UACGUAGGUGGCGAGCGUUGUCCGGAUUUACUGGGCGUAAAGCGCGCGCAGGCGGUUCUGUAAGUCCUGGGUGAAAUCGCCCGGCUCAACUGGGCGGGGGCCUGGGGGACUGCGGGACUGGAGGGGCCUAGAGGCCGGUGGAACUCCCGGUGUAGUGGUGAAAUGCGUAGAGAUCGGGAAGAACACCAGUGGCGAAGGCGGCCGGCUGGGGGCGCCCUGACGCUGAGGCGCGAGAGCGUGGGAAGCGAACCGG